rnacentral:antisense_RNA from 1 species
CUUCAACGACCCCAGGUACAGCGGCCGUUCGUGGUCCCUUCCCUGACCGUAGGUGGCGAUCAGCGCCUGCGCCUC